rnacentral:lncRNA from 1 species
ACUUUGCAACAGACCAUUUUUAUGGGUUGUGAGGCCAGAUAUUACUACUGAUGCAAAUGAUAGAUACCCAGAAGGAUUUCAAGAGAGAGUUGCUGCUCGAGGACAGAUGAUCAGCUGGGCACCUCAGCAGAAGGUUCUUAACCACCCUUCUAUUGCCUGUUUCCUGAGCCAUUGUGGUUGGAAUUCCACCAUGGAAGGUGUCAGCAAUGGCAUUCCUUUCUUGUGCUGGCCAUAUUCUGCUGAUCAAUUCCUGAACGAGAGAUACAUUUGUGAUUUUUGGAAGGUGGGAUUGAAGUUUGACAGAGACGAAAGUGGCAUCAUUACAAGAGAAGAAAUUAAGAACAAGGUGGAUCAAGUGCUUGGUGAUCAAUAUUUUAAAGCACGGGCUUUGGAACUCAAGGAAAAAGCCAUGAGUGGUGUCAGAGAAGGUGGUUCCUCUUACAAGACAUUUCAGAAUUUCCUCCAAUGAGUAAAGACAUAAGCACUGGCACAUAGUUCCCAGGUACUGGGCAGCUAAUUCAAAAAAUACUACCUUCAUAGACAAUUAUAUAAGAAUUCCUUGGCCAUUGUAACAUCUAUCUUCUAAGUUUUUUUUAUUAAAUUUAUAGAGUUUAGGAAUAUUUUAUUUAAUUGAGUUUUAAUUUAAUUUGUUUUCCUAUUUUGGUAAUUUUUUUCAGAGCAGACAAUGAAUGUCUCUUAAGAAACAAGUGAUUCAUUUGGCACCAAAUAUGCCUACAAUGAACACUGCGGAUCCUCUUUGGGCCUGUUUUAAUUUGGCGACUUAACUACCCAUCCAUGCAUUCAAGGUGCAGCCUCAACUCCAUCCAUGCACUGCAGAUUGUGCAUAUUAUAUCCAGUUCAAAUAAAUCAAUUCUGCAAGGACACACGAGUUUCACAGCCACCCCGUUUCCCGCGGGGAGGCAAGCCAAACUGGAUUACCGUCUCUUGCAUUUUAGAAGAGGAAACAGAAUUGAUGCCAUCCUGGUAUUGCCUAUUUUAUGGAUCACUCGGAAACAUUUGUUUAUUUAGUAUUAGCUUACGAGAAGAUACUAGUGAGAUUAGCGGCUAAAAAAACUGAGAUAGGAUGCUGGUUUGGGAGGAGACUAAGCCUAAAAGUAGCCGAUAUACUAUUUACAUCAAGCUUGAAAUCAUUUUAUUGUUUCUUUUUAUUUUAAGAAGAUGAGAUACCUGUUGUUCCCUCAUCUCGUGCUAUACAUUUUGAGAUUUUAGCACAGGGUAAUCAACUUCUAGUCUUCUAAUUCACAGCAACAAAAGCGAUGGCUGCCUCUUACCAUACUCGCUCAAACAGCUUUCCACGAGAUCACACCCACAGACUUCAGAAGUUGAAGAGCAUUUUAGAAUAUUAAGGACUCCUCAAGCUGCUUCUACUUCAUCGUUAGGCCGUGAAUUAUUCUGCCUUAGUUAAAAUUGUUUAAUGGACUGUUUGGUUAACAAGAAAAUGAAAGAAAGUUGAAAGAGUAAAAACUGCAGUUUAGAGAAUUCUAGAAUAUUAUUCGAUUCAUUCUGAAUGAAUGUACAAAGUGAUUACAUUGUUGUUUAUAUACACAGCUGAAUAUAACAGCUCGAGCUUAUUACUAACUCUAACUAAUCAAAACGAAUCUUCACGUGUGCUGGUAAUUACAUAACCACCAGGUGCCACAUGGACAGCCAAAUCAUCAAUCUUUAACCGUGUGCUGUAGCUGCUGCAAUCCUCUGUUUGGUUUAUCGUACUACAAACAGGAUGAGCUUCCUUAACAUCCUCCCUCAAGCUCAAUGGUUUGUUGAUGACAUUGAGCUUGGAUCUGAAAUAGCUGAACGUAGCUAGAGAUAAAGGUUUGGUGAGAAUGUCAGCCACUUGCUCUUCAGUAGGAAUGUAUCUUACUUCUAAUUCCUUGCUAAGAAUCUUAUCUCUGAUGUAAUGCACAUCUAAUUCAAUGUGCUUGGAUUUAGAGUGAAAAACAGGAUUUCUAGCUAGCUCCCCUGCACUUUAAUUAUCACACCAAAGCACUGAAGUAGGCAGCUGAGCUAUGUUCAAUUCUGAAAACAAAGAUUGAAGCCAGGAAAGUUCUGAACAUGCUGAUGAUAAGGCCCUGUAUUCACUCUCAGUGCUGGACUUUGCUACAACCCCUUGCUUUUUAGAGGACCAAGAAAUGAGAUUGUUGCCAAGAUAAAUGCAAUAUGCUCUAAUGGAUUUCCUAUCAUCAAUAUCACAAGCCCAAUCUGCAUCAGAAUAGCCAUUUAAACCAGUAACUCCAAGUGAUCCCCCCUGCUGUAGAUAAAGACCAUGAGUAAUGGUAGCUUGAAGAUAUCUUAGAACCUUUUUACAAGCUAACCAAUGCUAGAUUGUGGGAGAACUCAGAUACUGACUGAGUUUGUGUACAGAAUAUGCAAUAUCAAGUAUUGUUAGUACUAAGUACUGAAGACCUCCAACAAUGCUCUUAUAGAGAGUUGGAUCUUCAAAUUCCUGUCCCAAAGGUCAUUUUGCUUACCUUUCCAGCUUAAGACCUGUAUUGAAGGGUGUGUCAGUCCCCUUACAGUCUUGCAUUGAAGCUCUACUUAACAGAUCCUUAAUGUAUUUGGUUUGAGAAAGGUGCAUCCCAUGAUGCGUAUAACAUACUUCCACACCAAGAAAAUAAGCAAGCAAACCCAAAUCCUUUAAAGCAAACACCUUGCUUAAUUUAGCAAAAAACUCUUCCAAAACAGCAGAAUCAGGACCUUUGACUAGGAUAUCAUCGACAUAAAUCAGAACUAUAAUUAGCCCUUUAGUGUCAUGCUUAAUGAACAAAGAAGUGUCUGCUUUAGAAUUGAAGAAGUGACGGGUUGUAAGGCAAUGUUUCAGUUUGUCAUACCAGACUCUUGGAGCUUGUUUAAGCCCAUAAAGGGCUUUGUUGAGCUUGCAUACAUAACCUUCUUUAACCGUGAAACCCUCUGGUUGUUUCAUGUAUACAUCUUCUGUUAAAUCUCCAUUAAGAAAGGCAUUAUUUAUGUCAAUUUGCCUAACCUUCCAGCCUUGCAUCACAGCCAAACUCAGAAUAACUCUGACUGUUGAGGAUUUAAUUACAGGACUGAAAGUUUCUGAAUAGUCAACCCCUGCAGUUUGAUGGAAUCCUUUUGCAACAAGUCGAGCUUUAUGCUUAGAGAUUGAUCCAUCAGUAUUGUAUUUAGUUCGAAAUAUCCACUUGCAACCAACAACCUUGAAAUCUGAACACAUUGGUACAAGACUCCAAGUUCUGUUUUUUAUGAGGGCAUCAUACUCAGCUUGCAUUGCAGCUUUCCAGUUUGGAUCUGACAAUGCUUCAGAAGGGGUAUUUGGUUCAAGGCUGUUGUGAGAAGUUAAAAAGGCCUUUGGUUUAAAAAUGCUAGCCUUUGCUCUGGUAAUCAUGUGGUGAGUUGAGACUAUGGAUUUGGUCUGAGAAUUAGGGAUUGGAGUGGGAGAAGAUGGAUGAGAUAAAGGCAUUUGAGCUGAAGAUGAUGGGCAGUGGGAUGUAUUUUCACUUAGUGAAUUGGAAUAUGAAAGUAUAGGUAUUGUACUAGGUGAAAUGGAUGAAGUAUUUGUAUCUAGACAGGGAGAAAUAAGAUCAGUACAUGUUGCAUCAACUCCAAAGGUGUUGAGAUUGCUAUUAGAUGUUGGCAAGGAAUAUGCCUGUAAAAGAUUGUAUUGAAAAGAUGGAGUGUUUUGUUGUAAAGAAUGAUGAUUGAAAAGUGAUAAAUAUGGAAAAGAAUUUUCAUAAAAAAGAACAUGACUUGAUAUAUACACUUUUCCAGAAGGAUGCAAACAUUUAUAUUCUUUAUGGAGAGGACUAUAGCCUAUGAAGAUACACUUGGAAGUAUGAAAAUAGAAUUUAUGUUUGUUAUAAUCUCUGAAAAAAGGAAAACAUGAACAACCAAAGCUUCUAAGAAAUUUGUAAUCAGGUUUCAAAUGAAAAAAAUAGCUUCAUAGGGUGAUUUCAUGGAUAAUGUAGGAGUGGGUAAUCUAUUUAUGAUGUAAGUGGCUGUAUGAAAGGAGUCCCACCAGAAUUUUAUGGGUAAAGUUGCUUGUGCAAGCAAGGUUAAACCAAGUUCUGUGCUAUGUCUAUGUUUUCUCUCUACUGUUCCAUUUUGAUUGUGUGUAAGGACAAGAAUGCCUGAAUGUAAUGCCUUCUUGAUGAAGAAAAGGGACAAAGGAUCUGAAUUCACCACCCCAAUCAGAUUGUAGGCAUUUAAUGGAUUUGUUAAGCUGUUUUUCAACCUGAGUUUUGAAGACUUUGAAGACAGAGAGAGUUUCAUUUUUGGUUUUUAAUGGAAAUAUCCAGGUGAAUCUUGUAAAGUCAUCAACAAAGCUUACAUAAUAUCUAUAGCCUUGUAAAGAAAGCUCAGGGGAUGGUCCCUAUAAAUCAGUGUAUAGAAGUUCUAAAGGACUGUUGGUUUUGAUGAAGCUAGUUGGAAAAUGUAAUCUAUGUAACUUUCCCAUCAUACAAGCAUCACAAGAUUCAAAAGAUUUAUUUCCAUUGAUUGCCUGUAAGGCUGGAUAAGUUUUGAUUACAUGAUCUAAAAUUUUUUAACUUGGAUGUCCUAGCCUUUGGUGCAAAAUAGAAGUACUUAACAAGCAUCUAGAGUUCAUACAUGGAGUUGAGACAGUGUAUGAACAUAAGGUUUUAUUUUGCAAAUCAGAAGAAACAACAAAAAGCAUUGAAAGAGGAACAACUUGAGCACCUGACUCAACAGUUGUGACAUGAUUUUGAGAAUGGGUUUUAUUGGGUGACAUCAACAGCAAUCUGUAUAAACCUUUGUCAGCCUUGCCCUGUAGUAUGAUCAAAUUCUUCACCUUGUCCUUCACAAAGCAAAAUUUGUCAGUAAAUUCAACUACCACAUUAUUGUCUUUGGUUAAUUGGGAUAUACUAAUAAGGUUUUUGGUGAUUUGAGGAACUAGUAGUAUAUUGUGCAGGUUAAGUGUGAAUGAAGCUUUUGUAUUAUAAUCAUGCAUCUUUAGAGUGGCAUGACCAAGAUGAGUAAUGUUUAGACUAGCACCAUUACCAACUACAAGUUUAGAUAUAUCUGCAAAAGGCUCAGCAACAUGCAUGUUGUUCAUGUCAUUAGUGAGGUGAUGUGUUGCCCCACUGUCAAGAUACUAGUUGGUAUCUGAAGCACCCUCCAUGUUUGCUAGAUAAGCAGACUUUGGAUUUCUGUUUGAUGCUUACUUAUAAGCACCUGAAGCAAUGAACUCUUCAAGUUUCCAGCAGAUAUUAGAUGUAUGACCUGUCUUAAGGCAAAUUUGACAGGUAGGUUUGGAAGCAUUCCAUUAAGGUUUAGCAUUUCCAGAUGUCUUGUUAUUAUUGAAGUUGCCAUAUCCACUAGGAUUCUGAUUCCAAUUCCCUCUAUUUCUUUUAUUAUCACCAGAAUAACCUCUUUGUUGAAAAUUAACACCAGAUAAAUUUCCUCCACUUGCUCCAGCACCUCCAUAAUUUUCUUUAUAGCCACCAUAGCCAUAAUGUCCAGCAUUACCAAAACCAGGAUUAUAUCCAUAGCCACCAAAAUUCUUACCUCCAGAUAUAAAACCUUUCUUAAAGCCUCUGUUCUAGACUAAAUUUGCCUCAAAAUUCUAUUCCACAUCCAUACCAGCAAGCAUGUGUGCUUGUUGUUCUAUUCUAGCUUCUUGAGUUAACAACAUUGCAUAUGCCUCAUUUACAUUCAUUUUACCAACUCUUGUUUGACCAGUUAUGUAUGUAGCAACAGAAUUAUAUUCAGGUCAUAAACCAGAAAGUAUGUGCAUAAUCAAAUCAUCAUCACUUAAAGCACUUCUAGCAGUAGCCAUAUUAUCAGCUAUGUUCUUCAUCUUAAUGAAAUAAUCAGUGACUUUCAUAUCAUCUUUCCUAGUUGAAUUCAUCAUGUACCUCAGAUGCAACAAUUUAGAUUUAAACUGUGAACCAAAUUGGACUUCAAUAGCUUUCCAUACCUCAAGUGAAGUUUCUAAACUGAAGACUAGACUGAAGACCAUACUGAUGAUGCCUUCACUCAUUGAAGAAAGCAGCCAUCCAAGCAGCAUCUGAUCUUGUGAUCUCCAGGUGACAAACUCUGGAUUUUCAACAAAUCUGAGGUCAUCACCACUUCUUUGAGCAGUGUGAGAUGGUGGAGUUACAGAAUCAUCAAUGAAUUUUUCAAGUCUAUUUCCACGAAUGAAAGCAAGAACUUGAGAUCGCCAAAUCAAGUAAUUUGAUUGAUCCAGCUUAACAGGAGUGUUGAAUGAAAAGGUGACUGUGCUCGUAUUAACGGCAGCAUUGUGAACUGCAUUAGAAGAUGAAGCAAGAUGUACUGAAGCCAUACUGGCUCUGAUACCAAGUUAAAAUUGUUUAAUGGACUAUUUGGUUAACAAGAAAAUGAAAGAAAGUUGAAAGAGUAAAAACUGCAGUUUAGAGAAUUCUAGAAUAUUAUUCGAUUCAUUCUGAAUGAAUGUACAAAGUGAUUACAUUGUUGUUUAUAUACACAGCUGAAUAUAACAGCUUGAGCUUAUUACUAACUCUAACUAAUCAAAACAAAUCUUCACGUGUGCUGGUAAUUACAUAACCAUCAGGUGCCACCUGGACAACCAAAUCAUCAAUCUUUAACCUUGUGCUGUAGCUGCUGCAAUCCUCUGUUUGGCUUAUCGUACUACAAGCAAGAUGAGCUUCCUUAACAGCCUUCAAGAUUCAUGAAAUUCUGUAGAAAAAAAAAACUUCAAUUGCCCCCCGUUCAACGAGCUUUAGCCCACGUCCCCCAGAAGAAGAAAAGGGUUGAUGAGCUGUUGAAUGGAUCUUUGAGGAUCUUGGAUGUUUGCGCACUGCUCAGAACGCCUUGCUGCAGAUGAAGGAAUCUACACUAGGAAUUCGAUCAGUGCUAUGAAAAAGAGGGGACGAGGAAAAUUGAAAUCAUAUGAAACAUUUUGAUCAGCAUGAGUUGUAGCAGAGUGCGAUGCUAAAAUUAGCAUUGCUGUAAAAGAGGGAAGACAAAUAAGUUAAAAAGAAUGAUACCGAAACACCUUCUUACAUAUGAACAAACCGAGGCUUAUAAAUAUAUAUCAGGCAAAUUGAAUUCUUGAAAGUGCCAGCACCAACUGGCCAUGCAAAUAUUGAUUAAUCACUGUUUCAAUAUAAAGCCAAUUCAGCUCCUUUUUUUCAUCUUCACAAAGCAACCUGCAAAUUGGUACUAAUAUUUGAAUAUGGCAGCAGCAGCAGAAAGAAAACAUGAGGUUCUAAGUGAUGAAGGAAUAUCGGUAUCAGUUGAAGAUCAGGAAGUGUGUGAAGACAUGACAGAGGCACACGAUGCUGCAAUGAAAAUUGAGAGGUCAAGGGAGCUUAUGUGGCCUACUCAGAGCUGCAAGAAAAGCCAUCGCAGCUUGAAAUUUAGAGACUUCAUUGAUACAACGUUUGAGCCAGUUGCUUUUCCUCUCAUAAUCAUCUAAAAAUGAUGAUGGUGAUGAUCAAGGUUGGGGACAAACCCCAAGUUGGGCAUUGCUUGUAUUCUCAGAGAGAUGAAACUGUAAGUUCUUUUUCUAGCUACAUCUAUUGCUACUUAGUAGAACAUUCAAUCAAAAUUCUAUAUAUACAAAGAACAUGAGUGUAACUUACACAAAAAGUUGGAUUAAAGAUCGAAUUGAUUCCAAGAUUCUUAGCACAAAAAGAGUAAAAAAGGUAGAAGAUGCAAUUAUGCAUAUUUAAUUUUAUUAAGGGAGAAUGAAUUUCUCAUUCUUAGUUUUACCUUUUGGCUCAAAAUAUUGACAAGAAAAAAAUAUUGUUUUAAGGGUAAAUGUGAAAUUUUCAUAUACAAAGAGAUUUACUAAUUAUGCUAUAAAAAAUUUAUCCAAACCCAAGGAAUAAAAACAACUUCAUAGUGGGAAUAAAGUUUCAUUCAUUCUCCUUUAAUUAAAUCAUUAGCCGAACUCUUACUUUUUAUUAAUUAUUUCUUAAGCUUGAGUGACCACGGGUAUAAAGUGCAUUCAUGGCCAGUCAAACUAGACAGAUGAUCAGUUUUGAAUGUGUCCAUGUUUAGCAUGAUGAAAUAUUUUUCAUAUAUUGCAGGUAUGAUUGACUAACAAACACAUCAAUAUCAACGAAGAAUCUGAAUCUCUCAGCAAUGGAAUGGACUCCAAUUUCAUGGGCAAUAGGCCUAAGUCUGGCUAGUCCCUUCCUUGGCUUGAUCUCCAAGCACCUUGACCAUGGCUACAACCCAUAACUCAUUGCUAGGGCUGAAACUGCCAUCUGUUCCCUCUUUUGUCUCCCUGUUGGCUUCAUUAAAACCCCAUACUUCUUCCUAUUUUAUAUUGCAGCUAUUGUUGCAUUAUACAUUGUUACUUCAGCCUUCCACACUCGCCAUCUUUGCCUUAUGGUUCGCGGCUACAUUGGACGAUCAACACUUAAACUCCGCCAAUUCCCAACUAGAAGAGGGGUCUCUGGCUGGUUCUCGGUAUACGCCACUGCUGCUAGUGGCUUAGGCUCUGCCAUUUUCUCUGCUUUCACUUACCAUAUGCUUAGGAACAAAAAGGGACCAUUUGUUAGCCUCUGGAUUGUGUCCAUUUUCAGGGGCCUCAAAUGGCUCGUUGGCAUGCUCCAUAUUGUCACACUGAGCCAGGGGCAAUCACCAACGCAACCUCCUCUAUGCCCGGAUCAUAUUCCCUGUCCCUUUUUGAAAAUCCUAAUGCAAUUACAAGCCUGAUUGUAAUUUUCAUGUCAUCAUUUUCAUCAAUGUGCAUUUUCACUGAGGGGUUAUUUUUUUUCCUAGGCCAGUUGUGCCUCGAGGCAAUUUUCUUCCUCUACCUCUGGGUAAUUUACUUCAUCUUCCCAUCAUUUUCAAUGACACUACGGCAACCGUUACAACAUACUAUCAAAGCAGAUGCUGUGAGAAUGCAACUUCUGGGUUUCCUCUUAGCUCUGUUGACUUCAGGUACGGGAUUCUACUACAAAGGAAAGAACUGGCAAAGGCACCAUGUACUGCUUUUUGCUGCAAUUCAAAGCACUUCUGCAGAGCUUUUGCAUGCUUUUGGGAGAGUUUUGUUGCUAGAUUGUACGCCACAUGUCAAAGAAGGUGCUUUUUCUGUAUGGCACUCGUGGGUAAAAGCACUAGGAACUUGUGCUGGCUUUGCUGUGGCGUUAGCGAUCAGCGGAAAUGUGAGCACUGCUUUUGGGGUUUCAUUUUAGGCUGCUGCGAUCGGGAUUCUUAUUUUGAUUUUUGGGAACAUCAGUGAUGUUGGUGGAGCCAUGGCUGCUGGGCAUUUGCAUGAAGAUAGUGAGAAGGGAUCCCCUGUACCUAGUUUAGAUACUAGCAUUAUUAUAAAGGAACUGCUUAAAUAGUGCAAGUGAACUUUCGCGGACAGUCAAAUAUGUUAUCCUUUAUAAGUAAAUAACUGAGGCACGCAUGAUUUUCAUUUUUUUUUACCCUUUUUUUUUCUUUUUUUCUCUUUUGGGUGAAUAAGUAUAGCCCAGAUUCUGUUAAUUGUGAGCAACUUCUUGUGUGCCUUUUACACUUCCAUUGGUCAUUGCUUUGAAUUAAUGUAAUAUUGAUUUAAUUGAAAUGAUAAUUCUUUUUUUUUUUUGUUCCUAUCAUUGCCUAAACUCGUUUAAUUAACUGGUAUGUUAAAAUUUGUGACAUUGGUAUAUAAAAUUCUAUCUAUAAAAUUUUCUGCCCUGUAGCCAUACGAACGUAACGACACCAUUUUUUUUUAUGCACAGGCAUUGCCUUCUAAGUGUGAGGCAAUCCAAGCUGGGCAGCAGGCUUUAUCACUGUUUUGUAAUCUGUAAAAUGUUGAGAUCAAUAGUUCCCCCGUGGAGGACAAAAAUAGCUAAAAAAAAAAAGUAUAUCUUUGACUUUCGAAAAUAUCUAGAGCACUUCACUUGAAGUGCUUUGUGAACACAAGAAGUUAUAUAAAAUUAUCUUUUCAUUGAAAAAAUAUAAAAAAAAUUUAUAAUAAAUAUAACUUUUUUAAUAUUUUAAUUUACAUAGUCAGUCAAAAAAAUUAUUUAAACAUAACUCAUUCAGAGCUCAUAAAGCAUAUUAAUAUUAGAGGUGGGAAAAUGAAUUGAUGAAUUGAAUCCGUAUCAAAUCUAAUCAAAAUUCAAUAAAUUCGGAUUCAAUUUGUUUAUUAAAUGAACGGUAAUCUUAAGGCUCAAAUUUAACUCAUUUAAUAAAUAAAUAUUUGUUUAUAAUUUGUUUAAUUCAUUUAAUAUACAAAAUUAAAUUAAACAAUAAAUGAAAACAACAAAUAAAGAAAUGAAUGGAUUCACCUAAAUUUGUUUACAAUCUGAUCAAAAAAAUCAAUUCAUUACAACUAGAUUCAAGCUACACGCAAAUACAAUCAAAAACCAAAAAUCAAUUCAUUACAACUAGAUAAUAUUAUCUAUUGAGCAUAUGCUAGCAGAAGGAUGUGAAAAAUUGUUUUAGUUACCUUAUUCUAGACAGAGUAUUUAAAGUUAGGAUCUGGUAAAGUUGGAGCAGAGCGUCCUUUUUUUUAUUAUUAUUUAUUACAUGAUACUAUUGUUCAACAAUACAACUCAUAUUACAUGAUACUGUAACUGAUAUUUAUAAAUCAGACUAUUACUGAGACUGAUUUACAUUAAUUCUUAUUAAGUCCGCCCAGAUUUUUACCCUCUCUAAUAUUCGAGGGAUGUCUACUCCACCCACAUUUUGAAAAAGAGAAGAUUGUCUUCACUCAAUUUGAGAAAGAAAAUUAAACUCCCACAAUACCUCACAAUUGUGAGGUAUGAGUUCUAACUAUUAGGCUAAAGCCUAAUGGCUUGCAGAGCGUUCUGUUUUAAACGUUGGAUCUAAUAGCGCAAUUUGUUCAAAACAAACAUAUCAUCCAAACCACAUAAGGAAACAUAAAAUAGAGAUGGACAAAGAACUUAAAAACGGGAGAUAAGACGAUAACUGUCUUCAGGUUCAAAAUCAAAGACACGCGAACGUAGUAUAUGUAUGCAAAGAAAGACAGAAAACCGAACAUGGGCUCUUGAGCUGCCCCUCACAAUCCCCAUAAAAGCACCAAGUUCAUAGCAACCAAAUUAGUGAGGUAAAAAUAUAAAAGAAAAUGAGUCGUCCACAUAUUUUGGUAAUGCCAGCUCUAGCACAAGUCCAUGUAAUUCCUUUACUGGAGUUUUCACAAUGUCUGGCAAAACAAAGCUUCCGAGUCACAUUUGCUAACACAGAUUACGAUCACAAGCGGGUAGUGGAAUCAUUGGAGGGAAAGAAUGAUCUUGGGGAGCAAAUCCGUUUGGUUUCGAUACCAGAUGGAAUGGAACCCUAGGAAGAUAGAAACGAUUUAGGAAAGCUAGCUGAAAAACUCUUACAGGCUAUGCCGGGGAAGCUAUAGGAGCUCAUAGAAGAGAUCAACAGUAGAGAAGAUGAAAAACUUGAUUGUUUCAUUGCAGAUGGGCACAUGGCUUGGUCUAUGGAAGUAGCAAAAAAGAUGAACGUCAAGGGGGUCGUCUUUUGGCCUUCAUCAGCAGCAUCAGUGGCCUUGCUAUUUCAUAUCCCCAAAUUUAUUGUUUAAGAUAAAUGUGAAAUUUUCAUAUAAAAAAUGAUUAUACUAAGAGAUUUACUAAUUAUGCUAUUAAAAAUUUAUCCAAACCCAAAGAACAAAAACAACUUCUUAAACCUUAGUGGGAAUAAAGUUUCAUUUAUUCUCCUUUAAUUAAUUCAUUAACUCUUACUCUUUAUUUAUUAUUACUUAAACUUGAGUGACCGUUGGUAUAAAGUGCAUUCAUGGCUAGUUAAACUAGAUAAAGGGUCAGUUUUGAAUGUGUCCAUGUUUAGCAUGAUGAAAUAUUUUUCAUAUAUUGCAGGUAUGAUUCACUAACACACACAUCAAUAUCAACGAAUAAUAUGAAUCUCUCAGCAAUGGAAUGGACUUCAAUUUCAUGGGCUAUAGGCCUAAUUCUGGCUAGUCCCUUCCUUGGCUUGAUCUCCAAGCAACUUGACCAUGGCUACAACCCAUAACUCAUUGCUAGGGCUGCAACUGCUAUCGGUUCCCUCUUUUGUCUCUCUGUUGGCUUCAUUAAAACCCCAUACAUCUUCCCAUUUUAUAUUGCAGCUAUUGUUGCAUAAUACAUUGUUGCUUCAGCCUCCCACACUCGCCAUCUUAGCCUUAUGGCUCGCGGCUACACUGGACCAACACUUAAACUUAGCCAAUCCCCAACUAGAAGAAGGGUCUCAGGCUGGUUCUCUGUAUACGCCACUGCUGCUGGUGGCUUAGGCUCUGCCAUUUUCUCAGCAUUCACUUACCAUAUGCUUAGGAACAAAAAGGGUCCAUUUGUUAGCCUCUGGGUUGUGUCCAUUUUCAGGGUCCUCAAAUGGCUAGUUGGCACGCUCCAUGAAAGAGAAAAUGAAGUUGUUUGUUUCUAAGGAAAAUAUUUUCAGAGAAAAGAUCACUUUAUUUCUUAUUGAUUUUUUACUUAACUAAUUACAACAGAAUCAACUCAACUUAUAUACAUGCACAAGAUGACAGCUUAAGCUAAUUACAUUUCGUUGUUCACACAUACAAAAUGACUAACAACACUCUUAACAAACUUGUGCUGAUCUGGCAACUUGCUUAACUAACUCUGAUGAGCUGGCAUUGCUGAAACAUCUGACUGACUGAGACUGAAGCUUCUUCUCCUUCUUACUCCUACUCUCUGUGAGCUCAGCAUAUUGGACUUCCUUAAUAGCCCCCCUCAAACUCAAGGGGCAAGGCUGCACAUUGAGCUUUGAUCUCAAAUACUUAAAAUGAACAAAAGAGAAGGGUUUUGUCAUUACAUCAGCAAUCUGUUCUUCACUGGGAAUGUACUGAAUUCUUAACUCCCUUGCAAUCACUUUGUUUCUGAUAAAGUGUAAGUCAAGCUCGAUGUGUUUAGUUCUAGAAUGGCAAACAGGGUUACGAGCUAACUCAGUGGCAUUGGUGUUGUCACACCAGAUAGUGGGUAUCUCUGAACAACACAAACCAAUUUCAGAAAACAAAGAUUGUAACCAGCUGAUCUCUGCACUAGCUGAAGCUAAGGCCCUAUACUCGCUCUCAGCACUAGAUCUAGCAAUGACUAACUGCUUCUUGGAUGACCAUGAAAUCAAAUUAUUACCUAAAUAGAUGCAAUAAGCUCCAAUAGAUUUUCGAUCAUCUAAAUCACAAGCCCAAUCUACAUCAGUGAAUGCAGUAAUCUUCAUUUUUCCAUUUUGAGCAAACUUAAGUCCAUAAUCUUGAGUAGACUUUAAGUAUCUAAGUACUCUCUUACACGCUAUAAGAUGCUGCAUUGUAGGACUUGAAACAUAUUGGCUUAACUUGUUUACAGCAAAGGCAAUCUCAGGCCUUGUUAACACCAAAUAUUGCAUACCUCCUACAAUGCUCCUGUAAUGUGUAGCAUCAGCAAUAUAUUGGCCUAGAUGUCCUUGAGCUUCUUUCUGUAGCUUAAUUCCAGUACUCAUAGGUGUGUCAAUCUCUUUACACUCAAGCAACUGAACCUUAGUCAGCAGAUCUCUUAUGUACUUCCUUUGAGAUAGAUAAAUACAAUCUGCACCAUAUAAGACUUCUAUGCCUAGAAAAUAAGAGAGAGUACCUAAAUCUUUGAGUGCAAAAAACUGCAUUAAACUUUGCAAUAAAAGAUUCUAGUUCUGCACUAUUUGGUCCUGUGAUUAAGAUAUCAUCAACAUAAAUCAGUACCAAAAUCAUGUAAGAACUAGUUUUCUUGAUGAACAGAGAUGUGUCAGCUCUUGAAUUUUCAAAGUCCCACUGUAACAAACACCCUUUUAACUUUUCAUACCAAGCUCGUGGAGCUUGCUUGAGACCAUAAAGUGACUUAUGGAGUUUACACACAAAGUUUGGCUUUUGACUGUCAACAAACCCUGCUGGUUGAUCCAUAAAAACUUCUUUUGUUAACUCCCCAUUAAGAAAAGCAUUAUUAACAUCUACUUGUCUGAUUUGCCACUGAUUCAUAACAGCCAAACUAAUCACUACUCUAACAGUAGCUGAUUUUACCACUAGACUGAAAGUUUCAAAGUAAUUUACCCCUGCAAUUUGUUGAAAACCCUUAGCAACUAAUAUGGCCUUGUACUUGGCCAGACUUCCAUCUGAGUUAUGCUUAACUCGAUAUACCAACUUGUUUCCAACAGUCUUCUGACCAUCUGAUCUUGGAACUAAAGACCAUGUAUUGUUCUUGAGCAGAGCACUAUAUUCCUCCUCCAUAGCUUCAAACCAUUUAGGAUUUUGCAUAGCUUCUUCUACAGAUUCUGGCUCUUUAUGAACAAGAGCUACAUUGUAGAGCUUAGGUUUGAAAAUGCCAAUCUUACUCCUAGUGAUCAUAGGAUGUGUGUUUUCUGGAGCUUAUGUGUUUUGAUCAGUUUCUUGUGAUGUUUGAAAAAUGAGAGGUCUGUUGGUAGUGUUUGGUUGAAUUGGUAAAGAAGUAUGAAGCUCUGGAUUAGGCUCUGUAUUGGUGAUUGGUGAUGUGUUUGUUUGUGACAAUGGAUGAGAAUUAUUGUUAUGAUCAGGAGGAACUGAAUGAUGAGAACUGCUGCUGGUGGAACUUGCAGAGAUAGGAUUAUGAGUGCUGUUAUCAUCUGAAGUUGAGAAUAGUGGCAAAGUGGAUAGAUGAUACACUUGUUGAGAAGUGAAAGACAAGUUUUGACAUGAGUUUGACUUAUUAGAAGCAAAAGCAGAAUCUGAGGAAUAAGGAAAAGAGGACUCAUCAAAGACAACAUGUCUUGCUAUAUAAACUUGACCAGAUGGAUGCAAACACUUCUAUCCUUUAUGAGAAGGGCUAUAACCAAUGAAGACACACUUGCUAGAAUGAUAAUCAAACUUAUGCUUGUUAUAAUCUCUCAAAUAUGGAUAGCAUGCACAACCAAAACAUUUAAGCAUUUUGUAGUCUAGUUUAUGUUUGAACAACUUUUCAUAUGGAGUAAGAAACUUCAGAGCUGCAGAGGGCAACCUGUUAAUAUGGUAAACUGCUGUUUGGAAAGCUUCCCACAAAAAAUUUAAAGGUAAUUUAGCUUGAGCUAGAAGUGUGAGUCCUAACUCAACAACAUGCCUAUGUUUCCUUUCAACUACCCCAUUUUGGUGAUGUGUGUAGGGACAUGAGUGUCUGAAUAUGAUUCCAUUUUGGUUCAGAAAAUCAGUAAAUGCUCUAUACUCUCCCCCCCCCCCCAGUCAGAUUGCAGCAUCUUAAUAGGACAUUGAAAUUGUUUUUCAGCUUGCAAUCUGAACAAUUUAAAAACCUAUAGGGCUUCUGAUUUCAAUUUUAAUGGAUAAAUCCAGGUGUAUCUACUGAAAUCAUCAACAAAGCUGAUAUAAUAGACAUAACCAGCUUUAGAAAUGAUAGGUGAAGGGCCCCAUAAAUUAGUGUGAAUUAGUUCAAGCAUUUGAGAAGUUUUGGUUUCUGUGACAGGGAAGUGUAAUCUGUGACUUUUUCCCAUUUGACAGGCCUCACAUAUUUGUUGUGCAACUUGGUUAAUAAGAGAAGUUGAAAGAUUAAUAGUUUGAUCAAUCUUAAGCAAAUGUAUUAAAACAUUAUGAUGAGGAUGACCAAAUCUUCUAUGAAGAAGAUCAGCUUUAUUAACCAAUGAAUUACAAGAGGAAACAUCAGUUUGAAAACAAGCUUUAGAACUUGAGUGUUUAUUCUGAACAUUAUUUGCAACAGAAAAGGAAACAUGACAUGUUGAUAACAUAGACAGAGGCUGAUUUGAAGAAACUUGACACACGAAGGAAGAGUGAGACUGUGAUGAAUUUAACAGCAACCUAUACAAUCCUUUCUCAGCAAGACCUUGCAGAAGUACUUGUCCCUUUAGUGAAUCAUUUACAUAACACACAUUGCCAACAAAUUCAAUGGAAAGAUUAUUAUCAGUUGUCAAUUUGGAUAUGCUUAUUAAAUUCUUAGUAAUUGAAGGAACUAACAAGAUAUAUUUGAGUGCUAUAGGUGUGUGUUUGUAGGCAGAUUUGAAACUUUUAUGAUUAAAGCAUGCAUCACCAAUAUGUGUAAUGACCAAACCUUGUCCAUUGCCAAUAGUCAGCUGGUCUGAGCCUUUGAAUUCUUCUCUCAUAUGCAUAUUUGUCAUGUUGUUUGUAAUAUGAUGUGAAGCUCCACUGUCAAGAUACCACCCUUCAUCAGUUGAACCCUUAACAUUUGCAACAUAGGCUUCAGGCAGAGUAAAUGCCUCUGAUGGAUAAGAAGAAGAAGCAGGAGCAUAGUGCAUGAACUGAUAGCUAGGAUCUGAUGCUUCAUAAGGAUCUUCAAAUGAUGAUGGUUGAUAAGGAAAUGGCUCAAAAUUAGCCAUAUAUGCAGUCUUUGAUCCCAUCAUUUUUCCUCUCCCAAAUUGUUUAGGUGAAGAAACAUAAGCAUCACCAUACCUAUACCAACAUGCAUCAGCAGUAUGUCCUUGCUUGUGACAUAUUUGACAUAUAGGUACUGGCUCACUUGAUUCAGAAACAUUGGAAGUAUUAGUAGGAGAGAACAUGUGCCUCAUUUGUGGUGCCCUAUGAGACUGCAUAAACUGAUUCCUUCCAAAACCUACAACAUUUCCUCUACCAAAACCACUAGCAGUACUGCCACCAGCUGGAAAACCUCUAGGAUAAGAAGUAGAAAACAUGCCUCGACCAAAGAACUGACCUCUGCCUCCAGAUUGUCCAUAGGUAGCAUUACUAUUACCAUAAGCAUUUCUCCUAGGAGCACCCCUCAUAUGUGAAUAAUUUGUAUUCAUCAUACUAUAAUUUGCAUUAAACAUGCCCUGAGGGUUCUGAUUCUGUUCUAGCCUAGCUUCAUGUGUCAAUAAAAGUGCAUAUGCAUCAUCAUAACUCAUCUUAUUGGCUGUAAUUAUUGAAGUCAGAUCUAGAUAGCCAGAUCCAAGUCCACUUAGUGUCCUUAUCAGCAAAUCUUUUUCAGUUAUGUUAUCUCCAGCACACGCAAGUUUAUUUGCUAGCAUUUUCAUUUUUGAACAAUAAUCUUCAAUAGACAUUGACUCUUUUCUCAGAGUAUCUAAUUCAUAUCGAAGUUGCAUUAUUUUUGCUUCAGAUUGUACUCCAAAUUGCUUUUCAAUAGAUCUCCAUAUAUCAAAGGAAGUAUCAUAGUUAAGAACUGUGCUUAAGAUACCUUCACUAAUUAUUGAAAGAAGCCAACUAAGUAGAGUUUGAUCUUGAGCUCUCCAGCUGACAUGAGCUGGAUUUUCAAUCCUUUCCACAGAUUCAUCAGCUUGUGACUGAGAAAUAUAUUGUUCUGGAAUAUUCUGCUUCUCUGAGAUUAAUCCUUCAAGUCGAUUCCCUCUGAUUGAAGUGAUCAUUUGUUUGCGCCAGAGAAGGAAGUUUGAUCGAUCGAGUUUUACUGUUGUAGCAAAAGUAAAUGAAGUUUGUGUGGAAUGCAUUUGAUUGAUAUUUAAACGAUUUUGAUUUAUUGUACUGGAACUAGCCAUGGAUGGCUCUGAUACCAUGAAAGAGAAAAUGAAGUUGUUUGUUUCUAAGGAAAAUAUUUUCCGAGAAAAGAUCACUUUAUUUCUUAUUGAUUUUUUACUUAACUAAUUACAACAGAAUCAACUCAACUUAUAUACAUGCACAAGAUGACAGCUUAAUGCUAUUUACAUUUCGUUGUUCACACAUACAAAAUGACUAACAACACUCUUAACAAACUUGUGCUGAUCUGGCAACUUGCUUAACUAACUCUGAUGAACUGGCAUUGCUGAAACAUCUGACUGACUGAGACUGAAGCUUCUUCUCCUUCUUACUCCUACUCUCUGUGAGCUCAGCAUACUGGACUUCCUUAACACUCCAUAUUGUCACAAUGAGCCAGGGGCAAUCACCAACGCAACCUCCUCUAUGCCCGAAUCAUAUUCACAGUCCCUUUUUAAAAAUCCUCGUGCAAUUACAAGCCUGAUUGUAAUUUUCAUGUCAUCAUUUUCAUCAAUGUGCAUUUUCACAUAGGGGUUAUUUUUUUUCUUUUCCUCUACUCUGGCUUAGGAUUUUUCUUUCAAUUCUAUACAUAUUUAAUUUGACUCGAAUAGAAUUGAAAUAAAAAUCCUAAGCCAGAGUAUCACCCAUAAUUAGGGUCGGCAAAAAAGUCUAGGUUGGACCUAGCAUCAUAAAAUCAUGGCUAUGGCUAAAACAUUUAAAGCCCACUCGGGAUUAAAGGCUUUUGCAAAAAGCUUGGGCUCUUUAAUUUAUAACUUAAAAAAUUAAAUUAAAAAAUCAUUUUUAAUUUGAAAGAGUUAAAUUUCUGGUUCCAUUCUAGGUUAACAUCCUUUUUAAUAUAACAUAUGUCUUAAGCUUCUGUGUAAAUUACAAUGCAUAAACAUAAUUAAUAUCUAAAAAAUAAAGAAUUUUAAUUUACAAUAAUAAAUAAUAAGAAGAAGAGAAAAAGGAAUAAAGAAAAAAAUGCAAAUAUUUGCUUAGAAGUGACUGGUUCAGGCCCAUUCAAGGGAGUAAUUAAUUUUUUUUUGUUUAAUAAUAAUAAUCAUCUUAAUUUAAAUUUUUUUAACAUACAACUUAAUUAAAAAUUUAUUUAACAAAAUUAUUGAAGGCCCAAGCCCAAGCCCGCUCAAGUUGGAUGAACCUAAUAUCAACUAUAUGGAUCUGAUCUUGAGAAAAUCCGGCCCAAACUGCAAAUUGCCAACCCUCCCUGUAAUCGACACCACGCGUGUGUUGCAAAUUAUAAUAUUAUAUAUUGAGCAGAUGCUAGCGGAAGGAUGUGAAAAAUUGUUUUAGUUACCUUAUUUAGUUAGGACUUGACUAGCUUACAGAAUCUGUAAGCUACAGACCGCAGCAUCAGACGUUGGAUGUGGCUGGAUGUGGAGUGAGAAACUAAACAAUACAAAAUGGGAUGGUGGGAUGACGGGAGAUGUUUGUUAUAGAAUCUGUACCAUAGAUAAGAAGAUAACCACUAACCAGAAAAGUUAUUGUAGACAGAGCAUUAAAAAUUGGGGUCCAGAAAAGUUGGAGCAGAGCAUCCUGUUUUAAACAUUGGAUCUAACGGAUCAAACAUACCACCCAAACCGCAGAAGGAAACAAAACAAAGGGAUGAACAAAGAACUUAAAAUCGGGAGAUAAGAAGAUAACCACUAACCAGCUUGAGGUUCAAAAUUAAACACAUAUAACAUUCUACUUGUACGGAAAGAAAGACAGAAAACCGAACAUGGGCUGCUGAGCUGCUCCUCACAAUCCCUAUAAAAGCACAAGGUUGAUAGAAACCAAAUCAGUGAGGUAAAAAUUAAAAAAUAAAAUAAAAUAAAAUGAGCAGUCCACACGUUUUGGUGAUGCCUGGUCCAGCACAGGGCCAUGUAAUUCCUUUACUGGAGUUUUCGCAAUGUCUGGCAAAACAUGGCUUCCGAGUCACAUUCGUUAAUACGGAUUAUUAUCACAAGCGGGUAGUGGAAUCACUGCAGGGAAAGAAUUAUCUAGAGGAGCAAAUCCGUUUGGUUUCGAUCCCAGAUGGGAUGGAACCCUGGGAAGAUAGAAACGAUUUCGGAAAGCUAAUUGAAAAUUUUCUAAAGGUUAUGCCGGGGAAGCUGGAGGAGCUCAUAGAAGAGAUCAACAGUAGAGAAGAUGAAAAAAUUGAUUGUUUCAUUACAGAUGGGAACAUGGGUUGGUCAUUUAUGCUGCUUUUGGCAGCCAUACAAUUCUUGACCAAGUUCAGUUUCAAGAAUUAGCAUUGGGACUAGAACUUUGCAACAGACCAUUUUUAUGGGUUGUGGGGCCAGAUAUUACUACUGAUGCAAAUGAUAGAUACCCAGAAGGAUUUCAAGAGAGAGUUGCUGUUCGAGGACAGAUGAUCAGCUGGGCACCUCAGCAGAAGGUUCUUAACCACCCUUCUAUUGCCUGUUUCCUGAGCCAUUGUGGUUGGAAUUCCACCAUGGAAGGUGUCAGCAAUGGCAUUCCUUUCUUGUGCUGGCCAUAUUCUGCUGAUCAAUUCCUGAACGAGAGAUACAUUUGUGAUUUUUGUAAGGUGGGAUUGAAGUUUGACAUAGACGAAAGUGGCAUCAUUACAAGAGAAGAAAUUAAGAACAAGGUGGAUCAAGUGCUUGGUGAUCAAUAUUUUAAAGCACGGGCUUUGGAACUCAAGGAAAAAGCCAUGAGUAGUGUCAGAGAAUGUGGUUCCUCUUACAAGACAUUUCAGAAUUUCCUCCAAUGGGUAAAGACAUAAGCACUGGCACAUAGUUCCCAGGUACUGGGCAGCUAAUUCAAAAGAUACUACCUUCAUAGACAAUUAUAUAAGAAUUCCUUGGCCAUUGUGACAUCUAUCUUCUAAGUUUUUUUUAUUAAGUUUAUAGAGUUUAGGAAUAUUUUAUUUAAUUGAGUUUUAAUUUAAUUUGUUUUCCUAUUUUGGUAAUUUUUUUCAUAGCAGACAAUGAAUAUCUCUUAAGAAACAAGUGAUUCAUUUGGCACCAAAUAUGCCUGCAACGAACACUGCUGAUCCUUUUUGGGCCUAUUUUAAUUUCGCGACUUAACUACCCAUCCAUGCAUUCAAGGUGCAGCCUCAACUCCAUCCAUGCACUGCAGAUUUUGCAUAUUAUAUCCAGUUUAAAUAAAUCAAUUCUGCAAGGACGCACGAGUUUCACAGCCACCCCGUUUCCCGCGGGGAGGCAAGCCAAACAUGAUUACCGUCUCUUGCAUUUUAGAAGAGGAAACAGAAUUGAUGCCAUCCUUGUAUUGCCUAUUUUAUGGAUCACUCAGAAACAUUUGUUUAUUUAGUGUUAGCUUACGAGAAGAUACUAGUGAGAUUAGCGGCUAAAAAAAAUGAGAUAGGAUGCUGGUUUGGGAGCAGACUAAGCCUAAAAGUAGCCGAUAUACUAUUUAGAUCAAGCUUGAAAUCAUGUUAUUGUUUCUUUUUAAUUUAAGAAGAUGAGAUACAUGUUGUUCCCUCAUCUCGUGCUAUACAUUUUGAGAUUUUAGCACAGGGUAAUCAACUUCUAGUCUUCUAAUUCACAGCAACAAAAGUGAUGGCUGCCUCUUACCAUACUCGCUCAAACAGCUUUCCACGAGAUCACACCAACAGACUUUAGAAGUUGAAGAGCAUUUGAGAAUAUUAAGGACUCCUCAAGCUGCUUCUACUUCAUCGUUAGGCCGUGAAUUAUUCUGCCUUCAAGAUUCAUGAGAUUCUAUAGAAAAAAAAUACUUCAAUUGCCCCCCGUUCAACGAGCUUUAGCCCACGUCCACCAGAAGAAGAAAAGGGUUGAUGAGCUGUUGAAUGGAUCUUUGAGGAUCUUGGAUGUUUGCGCACUGCUCAGAACGCCUUGCUGCAGAUGAAGGAAUCUACUGUUGGCGUGAGUUGUCAAUUAAGAGAUAAAUCAGAGAGAUUAUAGGAGUUAACCAAAUCAGAAAGAUUUCAGGAAUAAGCCAUAAAAUACCAAGCCAUUAUUCUAGCACUAAAAAUCUGUAUAGUCCAAAAAUAGCGUAGCAAAUCUCUCUAUAAAUGUAUACAAUACCUCUGUAACUUUACGUAUGAGAAAUAUACUGAAACAAAUUGACAUGGUAUCAGAGCAAGUUACGACCUGGUCCCUUGUUCACGCCCAGUCCUAGGGUUUAGCCUCGUAUCUACCUAUGGCAGCCACCGAAACACCAACCCAGACAGAGGAAUCCACCACCGACCGGAUUCUCUCUGAAUUACUCACCUCCAAGAUGGCCGAAGCUCUGUCCAAAGCCCAGGCCCCAACCGUGACCUCAGAACCUGCAGCUCUACCGAUUGGCAUCAAGUUGGAUGGCUCCAACUAUGGCUUGUGGUCCCAAGUUGUCGAGAUGUACAUCUCCGACAAAGACAAGUUGGGAUACAUCAACGGCGAACUGACCCCGCCAUCCCCUACUGACCCGUCCUUUCGUAAAUGGCGCACCGACAACGCCAUUGUCAAAGGAUGGCUUAUCAACUCUAUGGAUCCGACGUUAAUUGGAAACUUUAUUCGGUUUCCCACAGCCAAACAGGUGUGGGACUCUACUGCCACCACCUAUUUUGAUUGUGGUGAUACAUCUCAGGUUUAUGAUCUCCGACGCCGUGUUUCACGUCUCCGUCAAGCAGGUGGAUCCUUGGAAAAAUAUUUCACUGACUUGCAAGGUCUUUGGCGUGAAAUUGACUUUCGACGUCUAAAUCCAAUGGAAUGCCCUGCUGAUAUUCUAAGGUAUAAUAAUCUCCUCCAAGAAGAUCGGGUCUACAUUUUUUUGGAUGGUCUUGACGACAAGCUGGAUAACAUCCGGAGUGACGUGCUGCAUCUACACCCGUUUCCCACCAUAGAGCAAGCUUAUGCUUAUGUCCGUAGAGAGGCUCUUCGUCAGGUGGUGAUGAACGCAGGUGACCAUGAACCCCCUCCAGGAGCAGUGCUUGCUUCAAGAGGCCUCAAGCUUGGGAUCCAUGGAUCGAACCCACAGCAUGCUGGAAAAUUUGGCUCUAAAGGCCGAUCAUCAUCUGACGGAUUAAAGUGCACUCAUUGUGGCAAUAUGAAGCACACACGGGAAAAUUGCUUCCAACUGUAUGGAUAUCCGGACUGGUGGCAUGAACUCCAAGCCCGGAAGAAACAAGACACUGCUGGUACAAGUACAUGCAUAGGCAAGGCUGCUGUAGCAGCAGUCGAACCGUGUCUUUCUCUAAUUCCUCAACAUAAUUUUUCUUAUGUGGAUCAAGGUAAUCCCUAUCAUGCCUUAAUUAGUUCUCACUGCAAUACCAACCGUGAUGAUUGGUUACUUGACUCUAGGGCCACAGAUCAUAUGACCUUUGAUCCUACGGAUCUUUCUCAUUAUUCAUCCCCACGGCGCACUAGCAUUGCAAAUGCCAAUGGAGUGGUCUCUCCUGUCACAGGAGCUGGUUCUGUGACAUUAUCACCCUCUCUUCAAUUAUUCAACACUUUACUUGUUCCCUCAUUGUCCCACAAGUUACUAUCUGUGAGUCAAAUUACCACAGACCUGAAUUGUGUGGUACUCAUGUUUGCUGAUUUUUGUCUUAUACAGGAUAUUCUCACCAAGGAGAUAAUUGGGUGUGGUACUAAGAGGGGGGGAUUAUACUACAUGGAAGAUUUCAGUAUGGGGAGAGCUCAUCACGUGUCUUCUUCACUAAGUUCCAAGACUCGACAGAUUUGGUUGUGGCAUCGCCGUUUGGGACAUCCAUCAUUCGGGUAUCUAAGGCAUUUGUUUCCUGAUUUAUUUUCUGAUGUAGAAACUUCUGAGUUAAAUUGUGAUACUUGUAUUUUAGCCAAGAGUCAUAGGGCUACUUAUUCUUUAAGCAUGAAUAAAAGUGACAUUCCUUUUGCUUUAAUACAUUCCGAUGUAUGGGGACCAUCCCCCGUGUCUAUUGUCUCUGGUGUACGUUGGUUUGUAACAUUUGUUGAUGAUUGCACACGCAUGACCUGGCUAUAUUUGCUGAAACAUAAGGAUGAAGUAUUUAAGGUUUUUCAGUCAUUUCAUGCUAUGAUUCAGACUCAGUUUUCAGCUCAGAUUCGAAUUCUUCGUUCUGACAAUGGUGGAGAAUAUGUCAAUCACCAUUUUCAGUCCUAUUUUCAACUCCACGGUCUUAUUUAUGAAACUUCAUGUCCCCAGACACCACAACAAAAUGGGGUAGCUGAAAGGAAAAAUCGACAUAUUCUUGAAACUGCCCGAGCCCUCCUUCUCGGCGCACAUGUUCCCACAAGACAUUGGCCCGAUACUGUUACCACUGCUGUCCAUUUGAUCAACCACCUUCCGUCCAAAGUCUUACAUUUCUAAACCCCACUCCAAUCCUUGUCAGCCUCGGUCUCUCUACCUUAUGCCCUCAUGCUCCCACCUCGCAUCUUUGGUUGUGUGGCGUAUGUUCAUAUUCAUAAGAACCAGCAUAACAAACUUGACCCUUGUGCCCUUCGGUGCCUCUUCUUGGGCUAUGCUACCCACCAAAAAGGCUACCGCUGCUAUGACCCUACCACUCAGCGUACUUAUGUGACUAUGGAUGUCACUUUUUUGGAGUUCGCUCCUUUCUACCCUUCCUCGGUAUCCACUACUCCUCUUUAGGGGGAGACACUAGAUGAAGAGCUGAAAUGGCUAACCUUUGAGUGGUUUGAGGAUCAGAAUGACACACCAUCAGAAGAAGAACCUCUGGCAGCUGAGCCUAUACUAUCCGAAGAAGAACCUCUGGCAGCUGAGCCUAUACCAUCCGAAGAAAAACCUCUGGUAGCUGAGCCUAUACCAUUUGAGGAAGAAAAAUCCCCCCUCUUGGUCGCUGCAAGUCCAUCUCCUGAGAAUAUUCCUGAGGUAAGUAAUAUUGGCAUACCCUCAAUUAUCAAUGCUAUAGAUACUGGGUAUAACUUACCUUUCAGACAAAACCGGGGCAAACCACCAAACAGAUACUCCCUAGAAAUGGAGGAAAGAAGGUCGAGGUAUCCAAUUGCCAACUAUGUUUCCACUGAAAAAUUGCCUGAGCCACUCAAGAGUUUUUCACAGGAGCUCUCUGCAUGCCAUAUUCCUACUACAGUUCAGGAGGCAUUAAUGGAUCCUAAGUGGACAAAAGCAAUAGAGGAAGAAAUGUGGGCACUACUAAAGAAUCAAACAUGGACCUUAGUCCCACUACCCCAAGGGAAGAAGACAGUCGGGUGCAGGUGGGUCUUCUCAGUUAAACAUAAGGCAGAUGGAUCUAUAGAACAAUAUAAGGCGAGACUAGUUGCAAAAGGAUACACCCAGACAUAUGGUGUAGAUUACCAAGAAACUUUUUCACCGGUGGCUAAACUAAAUACAGUCAGGGUUUUGCUGUCACUCGCAACCAACCUUGAUUGGCCAUUACAUCAGUUAGAUGUAAAGAACGCAUUUCUCCAUGGCGAUCUUGAAGAGGAAGUCUACAUGGACACUCCUCCAGGUUACACAGCAUCUUCAAAAACUGAAGUAGUAUGCAAGUUACAGCGUGCAUUGUAUGGACUAAAACAAUCACCUCGAGCAUGGUUUGGACAGUUCAGUCAAGCAGUGAAGAAGUAUGGCUUCUGCCAAAGCAAUUCAGAUCAUACAUUAUUUUUAAAGCAUCAACGGGGCAAGGUAACAGCUUUAAUUGUAUACGUUAAUGACAUGAUCAUUACAGGGGAUGAUGCAGAGGAAAUGGAUAAACUUCAGAAACAAUUGGCAACCGAAUUUGAGAUGAAAAAUCUGGGAGGACUUAAAUAUUUCUUGGGAAUAGAAGUUGCUAGAUCAAAGAAAGGUAUAUUCUUAUCUCAGCAAAAAUAUAUACUAGACUUACUUUGUGAGGUUGGAAUGCUGGAGUGUAAGCCAGCAGACACUCCAAUUGUUCAGAAUCACAUGCUCGGAGAACAUCUAAAUCAAGUGCCAACAGAUAAAGGAAGAUACCAGAGGUUAGUUGGGAAACUGAUUUACCUCUCGCAUACCCGUCCUGAUAUUACUUAUGCAGUGAGUAUUGUAAGCCAAUUUAUGCACCAACCGAGUAAGGAUCAUAUGGAAGCAGUAAUACGGAUUUUACGAUACUUAAAAUCCUCCCCAGGAAAAGGACUUAUGUUUGCAAAGAAUAACCACCUCAGAGUUAAUGGUUAUACAGACGCAGAUUGGGCAGGGAACACCAUAGACAGAAGAUCCACCUCAGGCUACUUCAUGUUUGUCGGGGGAAAUCUUGUUACAUAAAGGAGUAAGAAGCAAAAGGUGGUGGCAUUGUCAAGUGCUGAAGCAGAGUUCCGUGGAAUGGCUAAAGGACUUUGUGAACUUCUAUGGCUGAGAAGACUUCUAACAGAAAUUGGCUUUGCACCUAUCUCCGAAAUGGACCUCUUUUGUGAUAACAAAGCAGCGAUUGCUAUUGCUCACAAUCCUAUCCAACAUGAUCGCACUAAACACGUGGAGAUUGACAGACAUUUUAUUAAAGAAAAUCUCGAAGCUAAAAUAAUUCAGUUUCCAUUUGUGAAGUCCGAAGAUCAACUGGCGGAUAUUCUUACAAAGGCCGUAUCAAGCAGAGAGUUUUACAACUCACUAGACAAGUUGCGCAUUGAAGAUUUGGAUGCUUCCACUUGAGGGGGAGUGUUGGCGUGAGUUGUCAAUUAAGAGAUAAAUCAGAGAGAUUAUAGGAGUUAACCAAAUCAGAAAGAUUUCAGGAAUAAGCCAUAAAAUACCAAGCCAUUAUUCUAGCACUAAAAAUCUGUAUAGUCCAAAAAUAGCGUAGCAAAUCUCUCUAUAAAUGUAUACAAUACCUCUGUAACUUUACGUAUGAGAAAUAUACUGAAACAAAUUGACAUCUACACUAGGAAUUCGAUCAUUGCUAUGCAAAAGAGGGGACGAGCAAGACAUGGUGAUGGCAUAUUGAUUAGUGCUAUGCAAAUAUUAAAGAUCGAAUUGAUUCCAAGAUUCUUUGCACAAAAGGGGUAAAAUGUAGAAGAUGCAAUUAUGCAUAUUUAAUUUUAUUAAGGGAGAAUGAAUUUCUCAUUCUUAGUUUUACCAUUUGGCCCAAAAUAUUGACAAGAAAAAAAUAUUGUUUAAUGGUAAAUGUGAAAUUUUCAUAUACAAAAUGAUUAUACUAAGAGAUUUACCGAUUAUGCUAUUGAAAAUAUAUCCGGACCCAAAGAACAAAAACAACUUCUUAGUGGGAAUAAAGUUUCAUUCAUUCUCCUUUAAUUAAUUCAUUAGUCAAACUCUUACUCUUUAUUAAUUAUUUUUUUUAAUACUGCUUACACAUUAGAUUACUGUAUUAUACACAUAUUUACAACUGUUAUUCCAACAGACAUUACACUGAUAUUUACAAUCAGAUAUACAUAACUAAGACUUACAUUGUUACAUUAAAUCUAUGAAGUACAUGCCCAUGCAAGUAAAUCCUCACAGCCGAGGAAUGUCUAUACUCUAUUCGCAUUUCGCAAGGGAGAAAGACUUGCAAGUAAACUCCACAAUCAUGCAUAAUGCUUAAUUGAGACAAUUUUGAGUCCAUGAGGACUCGAACCCCUACCCUCACAAUCAUUUUUAACUGUGAGAGUAGAAGUUCACCGUUGGGCCAAAGGUCUAUUGACCUUUAUUAAUUAUUACUUAAACUUGAGUGAUUGCGGGUAUAAAACGAAUUCAUACUGCUGUCAAACUAGACAGAGGGUCAGUUUUAAAUGUGUCCAUGUUUAGCAUGAUAAAAUAUUUUUCAUAUAUUGCAGGUAUGAUUGACUAACACGCACAUCAAUAUCAACGAAAAAUCUGAAUCUCUCACGAGUGGAAUGGACUUCAAUUCAUGGGCUAUAGGCCUAAUUCUGGCUAGUCCCUUGCUUGGCUUGAUCUCCAAGCAACUUGACCAUGGCCUCAACCCACAACUCAUUGCUAGGGCUGCAAGUGCCAUCGGAUCCCUCUUUCGUCUCCCUGUUGGCUUCAUAAAAACCCCAUACAUCUCCCAUUUUAUAUUGCGGCAAUUGUUGCAUUAUACAUUGUUGCUUCAGCCUCCCACACUCGCCAUCUUUGCCUUAUGGUUCGCGGCUACACUGGAUCAACACUUAAACUUAGCCAAUUUCCAACUAGAAGAGGGGUCUCUGGCUGGUUCUCGGUGUACGCCACUGCUGCUGGUGGCUUAGGCUCUGCCAUUUUCUCUGCUUUCACUUACCACAAGCUUAGGAACAAAAAGGGCCCAUUUGUAAGCCUCUGGGUUGUGUCCAUUUCAGGGGCCCCAAAUGGCUCGUUGGCAUGCUCCAUAUUGUCACACUGGACCAGGGGCAAUCAUCAACGCAACUUCCUCUAUGUCCGAAUCAUAUUCCCUGCCCCUUUUUAAAAAUCCUCAUGCAAUUACAAGCCUGAUUGUGAUCUUCAUGUCAUCAUUUUCAUCAAUGUGCAUUUUCACUGAGGGGGUUAUUUUUUUUCCCAGGCCAGUUGUGCCUCAUGCCAAUUUUCUUCCUCUACCUCUGGGUAAUUUACUUCAUCUUCCCAUCAUUUUCAAUGACACUACUGCAACCGUUACAACAUAUUAUCAAAGCAGAUGCUGUGAGAAUGCAACUUCUGGGUUUCCUCUUAGCUCUGUUGACUUCAGGUAUGGGAUUCUACUACAAAGGAAAGAACUGGCAGAGGCACCAUCUACUGCUUUUUGCUGCAAUUCAAAGCACUUCUGUAGGGCUUUUGCAUGCUUUUGGGAGAGUUUUGUUGCUAGAUUGUACGCCACAUGUCAAAGAAGGUGCUUUUUCUGUAUGGCACUCGUGGGUAAAAGCACUAGGAACUUGUGCUGGCUUUGCUGUGGCGUCAGCGAUCAGCGGAAACGUGAGCACUGCUUUUGGGGUUUCAUUUUUGGCUGCUGCGAGUGGGAUUCUUAUUUUGAUUUUUGGGAACAUCAGUGAUGUUGGUGGAGCCAUGGCUGCUGGGCAUUUGCAUGAAGAUAGUGAGAAGGGAUCCCCAGUGCCUGGUUUAGAUGCUAGCAUUAUUAUAAAGGAACAUGCUCAUGAAGAAACUGCUUAAGUGAUGCAAGUGAACUUUCGCAAAUAGUUAAAUCUGUUUUCUUUUAUAAGUAAAUAACUAAGGCAUAUAUGAUUUUCAUUUUUUCAUCCUUUUUUAAUUUGGUUCUUUUUUUCUCUUUUGGUUGAAUAAGUAUAUCCCACAUUCUGUUAACUGUAAACAACUUCUUGUGUGCCUUUUACACUUUUAUUGGUCAUUGCUUUGAAUUAAUGUAAUAUUGAUUUAACUGAAAUGAUAAUUCUUUUUUUUUUUUUUUUGUGACCUUAUCAUUUCCUAAACUCGUUUAAUUAACUGGCAUAUUAACUUAUGUGACAUUGGUAUAUAAAAUUCUAUCAAUAAAAUUGUAUGCACUGUAGCAAUACGCGCAUUGACACCAAUUUUUUUAUGCACAGGCAUUGCCUUCCAAGUGAGAGGCAAGGCUAGCUGGGCUGCAGGCUUAAUCACUGUUUUGUAAUCUGUAAAACGUUGAGAUCAAUAAUUCCCACGUGGAGGACAAAAGCAGCAAAAGAAAACUGCAUCUGUUGACUUUCGAAAAUAUUUAGAAGCCUUUGCCUCACUUGAAAUGCUUUGUGAACACAGGAUGUUGUACAAAAAAUAUCUUUUCAUUGAAAAAAUAAAACAAAAUUAUUAUAAUAUAACUUUUCUAAUAUUUUAAUGUGAAUAUCAAAAAAAUUAUGGGAAAAUAUCCACGAUCCACUCGUUUUUUCCAACGUUUUUAAAAAUACACAUUAAGAAAAUACAUAACGUUAAGAAAACUAACGGAAACUUAAAAAAAUGAUAAUUUUAUCCUCAAAACGAAAAUUACAAUUUCACCCUAAAAAAUACGAAAAAUAAUCAGAUUUAAUGAUUAAUAUCAUUAUUGGUAUGUUAGUGAAGUAUAAAAAAAUCGUAACUACUAGAGAUUAUAACACAAUGAAUAAUAAAACUAUACUUAUCUUAAAUUCAAUUGGUGGUUUGCGAGAUUGGACUAUUUUUAAUACUGUUGUUAUAAUUUAGCAUUCUAAUUACAAACAUAUUUUUUUAAAAAAAACUGCAUUUGAUGGUUGUAUAAUUAAUUUCUUUAUUGACCGAUGAGGAAAAUAAUCAGAUUUAAUUUGAUUAUUUUUGGCAUUUUCCCAAAAAUUGGUGGACGGUAGAUAUUUUCUCAAAAAUUAUUUAAACAUAGCUCUAUCAAAGCUCAUAAAGCAUAUCAACAAUAGGGGUAGCAAAAUGAAUUGAUGAAUCCAAUCCGUUUGACAUCAAAUCAAAAUUCAAUGGAUUUAGCAAAAUGAAUUAGACGGAUCGUAAUCUCAAGAUUCAAACAAAUUUCACUCGAUUAAUAAAUAAAUAUUUGUUUAUAAUUUGUUUAAUUCAUUUACUAUACAAAAUUAAAUUAAAUAAUAAAUAAAAAAAUGAACAAAGAAGUGAAUGGAUUCACCUAAAUUUAUUUACAAUCUGAUAAAAAAAAAAAUCAAUUCAUUACAACUGGAUCUAAGCUAAACCCAAAUACAAUCAAAAACCAAGAAGCUGAAGAAAAUCGAAAGUCGCAGGAAGGGUGAACUUGACGGUCGAAUUUGCGGCAGGUGUAGUUAUUCGAGACCUUGUCACUGCCACAGCCAAGACAAGUGAAGCUUGUCGGCAAAUUUUAGGUCAGAGCAUUGAUUUGAAUUUUGGAAGUGUUUGGUUUGGCGUUCGUUUGUGGAAUGAAUAAAAAGGUGUUCAAAUUCAAGUGAAAGAAAUAGCAAUAAAGGAAGGAAAAUGAAGAGUGGAGCUAGGGUCAUUAGUGGUUUAGCCUUCGCUUUCAUGUUCCUUUUUGGCUUAUUAUCAUUUCAUAAUUACAAAACUAGCCUCAUACCUUGAAUAUGUUUAAACAAAAUUUUUUGAAUUUUAAUGGCAAAAAAGCAAAUUUAUGAAAAGUCAUUUAUUAUUGUAUUAAUUUGUAACCCGUUUAAUGAAUGAAUUUUAAACAAAUAAUUGAAUUAAUGAACACAAACAUGUAUUCUAUUAAUCUACUUAAUGAAUCAAAUCAAAUUUACCUAAUUAUUACAUGAAUUAAUUUUUUCAAAUUCAAACUCAUUUAAUUCAAUGAGAAUAGAAUCGAAAUGAGAAUAUUAACCCAGGUUGCCACUCGCCAUCAACACCACUCGCCAUCAACACCACUCGUGCCUUGCAAAUUAUAAUAUUAUACAUUGAGGAGAUGCUAGCAGAAGGAUGUGAAAAAUUAUUUUAACUGCCUUAUUCUAGACAAAGCAUUAAAAAUUAGGGUCUAGUAAAGUUGGAGCGUCCUGUUUUAAACGUUGGAUCUAACAGCGCAGUUUGUUCAAAACAGACAUAUCACCCAAACCACAGAAGGAAACAAAACAAAGAGAUGGACAAAGAACUUAAAAACGGGAGAUAAGAAGAUAACCAGCUUGAGGUUCAAAAUCAAAGUCACGUGAAGGUGGUACAUGUACGGAAAGAAAGACAGAAAACCGAACAUGGGCUACUGAGCUGCCCCUCACAAUCCCCAUAAAAGCACCAAGUUCAUAGCAACCAAAUCAGUGAGGUAAAAAUAGAAAAGAAAAUGAGCCGUCCACAUAUUUUGGUAAUGCCAGCUCCAGCACAAGGCCAUGUAAUUCCUUUACUGGAGUUUUCACAAUGUCUGGCAAAACAUGGCUUCCGAGUCACAUUUGUUAACACGGAUUACGAUCACAAGCGGGUAGUGGAAUCAUUGGAGGGAAAGAAUGAUCUUGGGGAGCAAAUCCAUUUGGUUUCGAUACCAGAUGGAAUGGAACCCUGGGAAGAUAGAAACGAUUUGGGAAAGCUAAUUGAAAAAGUUUUACAGGUUAUGCCGGGGAAGCUGGAGGAGCUCAUAGAAGAGAUCAACAGUAGAGAAGAUGAAAAACUUGAUUGUUUCAUUGCAGAUGGGUACAUGGCUUGGUCUAUGGAAGUAGCAAAAAAGAUGAACGUCAGGGGGGCUCUCUUUUGGCCUUCAUCAGCAGCAUCAGUGGCCUUGCUAUUUCAUAUCCCCAAACUUAUUGAUGAUGGAAUCAUUGACAGUCAUGGUAUGAUUCCAUGUCAUCUAAUUCCUUACUUUCCUCCAACAAACUUUAAUUUUGAUGCAUGUCAUAGUAGUAGUUUACUUUAUGCUGCUGUUAUUUUCUUUGUUUUGUAUUCAACUUCAGGAACUCCUACGACCAAGCAGAUGUUUCGGAUUGCACCAAAUAUGCCUGAAAUGAACUCUAGAGAUUGUUUUUGGGCACAUAUUGGUGACUUGACCACGCAAAAGAUUUUUUUUGAUUUACUGGAUAGAAACACGAGAGCAAUGAUAGCGAUAAAUUUCCAGUUUUGUAACUCAACAUAUGAGCUUGAGUCUGAAGCAUUCACCACGUUUCCGGAACUUCUGCCAAUAGGACCACUUUUGGCAAGCAACCGCCUAGGGAAUACAGCAGGACACUUUUGGCGCGAAGACUCAAGCUGUUUGGUGUGGCUAGACCAACAGCAACCAAGCUCUGUCAUUUACGCUGCUUUUGGCAGCUUUACAAUUCUUGACCAAGUUCAGUUUCAAGAAUUAGCAUUGGGACUAGAACUUUGCAACAGACCAUUUUUAUGGGUUGUGAGGCCAGAUAUUACCACCGAUGCAAAUGAUAGAUACCCAGAAGGAUUUCAAGAGAGAGUUGCUGCUCGAGGACGGAUGAUCGGCUGGGCACCUCAGCAGAAGGUUCUUAACCACCCUUCUAUUGCCUGUUUCCUGAGCCAUUGUGGUUGGAAUUCCACCAUGGAAGGUGUCAGCAAUGGCAUUCCUUUCUUGUGCUGGCCAUAUUUUGCUGAACAAUUCCUGAACGAGAGAUACAUUUGUGAUAUUUGGAAGGUGGGAUUGAGGUUUGACAAAAACGAAAAUGGCAUCAUUGGAAGAGAAGAAAUUAAGAACAAGGUGGAGCAAGUGCUCGGUGAUCAAGAUUUUGAAACAAGGGCUUUGAAACUCAAGGGAAAAGCCAUGAACUGCAUCAGAGAAGGUGGUUCCUCUCGCAAGAAAUUUCAGAAUUUCCUUGAAUGGGUAAAGAAACACCCUGGCACAUAAUUCCCCGGUAAUGGGCGGUUAAUUCAAAAAAUACAACCUUCGUCUUUUAAGUUUUUUUAUUAUGUUUAUAGUGUUUAGGAAUAUUUUAUUUAACUGAGUUGUAAUUUAAUUUGUUUUCCUAUUUACGUGAUUUUUUUCAUAGCAGACAAUGAAUGUUAUUAGUCAUAACUAUAGUGUGAGGAGUCAGUCUCUUAAGAAGCAAGUGAUUCAUUUGGCACCAAAUUUACCUGCAAUGAACACUGCAGAUCUUUUCUGGGCGUGCUUUAAUUUGGCGACUUAACUACCCAUCCAUGUAUUCAAGGUGCAGCCUCAAUUCUGCAAGGACACACGAGUUUCACAGCAGCCACUCUGUUUCCUACAGGGAGGCAAGCCAAACUGGAUUAGCGUCUCUUGCAUUUUAGAAGAGGAAACAGAAUUGCUGCGAUCCUUGUAUAGGAUUGCCUAUUUUAUGGAUCACUCAGAAACAUUUGUUUAUUUAGUAUUAGCUUAUGUGUAGAUACUAGUGAGAUUUGCGGCUAAAAAUACUGAGAUAGGAUGCUGGUGUGGGAGGAGACUAAGCCUAAAAGUAACCGAUAUAAUAUUUAGAUCAAGGUCGAAAUCAUGUUAUUCUUUCGUUUUAUUUUAAGAGGAUGAGAUACCUCUUGUAUCUUCAUCUCGUGCUAUAUAUAUUGAGAUUUGAGGACAGGGUAAUCUCAACUUCUAGUCUUCUAAUUCACAGCAACAAAAGCAAUGGCUGCCUCUUACCAUACUCGCUGAAACAACUUUCCACAAGAUUGCAACCACAGACUUCAGAAGUUGAAGAGCAUUUGAGAAGAUUAAGCACUUCUCAAGCUGCUUCUACUUCAUCAUUAGGCCAUGAAUUAAAUUGCCUUCAAGAUUCAUGAGAUUCUGUUGAAAAAAAAUACUUCAAUUGCCCCCCGUUCAACAAGCUUUAACCCAUGGAAUCUACACUAGGAAUUCGAUCAGUUCUAUGCAAAAGAGAGGAUGAGGAAAAUUGAAAUCACAUGAAACCUUGUUGAUCGGCAUGAGCUGUAGCAGAGUGCGAUGCAAAAAUUGGCAUUGCUAUGAAAGAGAGAAGACAAAUAAGUUAAAAAGAAUGAUACCGAAAUACCUUCUUACAUAUGAACAAACCGAGGCUUACAUAUAUAUGUCGGCCAAAUUGAAUUCUUGAAAGUGUCGGCACCAGCUGGCCAUGCAAAUAUUAAUUAAUCACCGUUCAAAUUUGAAUAUGGCAGCAGCCAAUUCAGCUCCGUUUUUUAACUUCACAAAGCAACCUUCAAAUUGGUACUAAUAUGUGAACAUGGCAGCAGCGGUGGCAGCAGAAAGAAAACAUGAGGUUCUAAGUGAUGAUGAAGGAAUAUUGGUAUCAGUAGAGGAUCAGAAAGUGAAUGAAGACAUGCCUGAGGCACACGAUGCUGCAAUGAAAAUUGAGAGGGCCGAGGGAGCUUAUAGGCCUACUCAGGGCUGCGAGAAAAGCCAUCAAGCUUGAAAUUUGGACACUUCAUUGUUACAACGGUUGUGCCCGUUGUUUUUCCUCUCAUCAUCAGUGAAAUUGUCUCUAAAAAUGAUGAUGAUGUUGAUCAAGGUUCGGGACAAACCCCAAGGGGCAUUGCUUGUAUUCUCAGAGAGAUCAAACUGUAAGUUCUUUUUCUAGCUACAUCUAUUAUUACCUAGUAGAAUAUUCAAUCAAAAUUCUAUAUAUACAAAGCACAUGAGUGUAAUUCACACAAAAAAUUGGAUUAAAGAUCGAAUUGGUUCCAAGAUUCUCAGCACGAAAAGAGUAAAAAAAGUAAGAUUCUUAGCAAGAUACAAUUAUGCAUAUUAAUUUUACUAUGGGAGAAUGAAUUUCUCACUCUUAAUUACCAUUUGGCUCAAAAUAUUGACAAGAAAAAAAUAUUGUUUAAGGUAAAUGUGAAAUUUUCAUAUACAAAAUAAUUAUACUAAGAGAUUUACUAAUUAUGCUAUUAAAAUUUAUCCGAACCCAAAGAACCAAAACAACUUCUUAGACCUUAGUGAGAAUAAAGUUUUAUUCAUUCUCCUUUAAUUAAUUCAUUAGCCAAACUCUUACUCUUUAUUAAUUAUUACUUAAACUUGAGUGACCGUGUAUAUAAAGCGCAUUGAUGGCCAGUUAAACUAGACAGAGGGUUAGUUUUGAAUGUGUCCAUGUUUAGUAGGAUGAAAUAUUAUUCAUAUAUUGCAAGUAUGAUUAACUAACACACACAUCAAUAUCAACGAAUAAUCUGAAUCUCUCAGCAAUGGAAUGGACUUCAAUUUCAUGGGCUAUAGGCCUAAUUCUGGCUAGUCCCUUCCUUGGCUUGAUCUCCAAGCAACUUGACCAUUGCUAGGGCUGCAACUGCCAUCGGUUCCCUCUUUUGUCUCCCUGUUGGCUUCAUUAAAACCCCAUACAUCUUCCCAUUUUAUAUUGCAGCUAUUGUUGCAUUAUACAUUGUUGCUUCAGCCUCCCACACUCGCCAUCUUGGCCUUAUGGCUCGCGGCUACACUGGACCAACACUUAAACUUAGCCAAUCCCCAACUAGAAGAGGGGCCUCUGGCUUGUUCUCGGUAUACGCCACUGCUGCUGGUGGCUUAGGCGCUGCCAUUUUCUCAGCAUUCACUUACCAUAUGCUUAGGAACAAAAAGGGCCCAUUUGUUAGCCUCUGGGUUGUGUCCAUUUUCAGGGUCCUCAAAUGGCUCGUUGGUAUGCUCCAUAUUGUCGCACUGAGCCAGGGGCAAUCACCAACGCAAUCUCCUCUAUGCCCGAAUCAUAUUCACUGUCCCUUUUUAAAAAUCCUCAUGCAAUUACAAGCCUGAUUGUAAUUUUCAUGUCAUCAUUUUCAUCAAUGUGCAUUUUCACUGAGGGGUUAUUUUUUUUCUUUUCCUCUACUUCUGGAUAAUUUACUUCAUAUUCCCAUCAUCUUCAAUGACACUACUGCAUCCGUUACAACAUGUUAUCAAAGCAGAUGCUGUGAGAAUGCAACUUCUGGGUUUCCGUUACCACAUGGCAAAGAAGGUGCUUUUCGUGUAUGGUACUCGUGGGUAAAAGCACUAGGAACUUGUACUGGCUUUGCUGUGGCAUCAGCGAUCAGUGGAAAUGUGAGCACUGCUUUUGGGGUUUCAUUUUUGGCUGCCACGAUCGGGGAUUCUUAUUGUGAUUUUUGGGGACAUCAGUGAUGUUGGUGGAGACAUGGCUGCUGGGCAUUUCAAUGAAGCGAGUGAGAAGGGAUCCCCAGUGUCUGGUUUAGAUACUAGCAUUAUUAUAAAGGAACAUGCUCAUGAAGAAAUUGCUUAAGUAAUGCAAGUGAACUUUCGCAAUUAGUCAAAUCGGUUAUCCUAUAUAAGUAAAUAAUUGAGGCAUGUAUGAUUUUUUUAUUUUUACCCUCUUUUCUUGGUUCCUUUUUUCUCUUUUGGUUGAGAAAGUAUAACCCAUAUUCAGUUAAAUGUAAGCAGCUUCUUGUGUGCCUUUUGCACUUUUAUUGGUCAUUGCUUUGAAUUAAUGUAAUUUUGAUUUUACCGAAGGAAAAAUAACGCUUACACUUCUAAAAUUUGGAGAAUUGAUCAAAAAGACUCCCAAAUUUUAAAAAAAAUGGGAUAUUAAAAUCUUUUUUUUGGCUCAUAAUAUCCUUUAACUAGAAUAAUUAGAAAAUUGACUUUAAAAAUUUGUAAUUAACACAAAUUUAAUAUAAGUAAUAUAAUCUAUCUAGUAGACUAAUAAUAUUAAAUUACUUUUGACAUUUAAAAUAAUAUUAAAAUUUUAAAUUAUCAUAUGUAUUUUAAUAAUAUAUUUGUAAUAUCAUAAUGAUUUUAAAUAAAUCUUGGGGUUAAAUAGAAAACUGUAAAACGUUGAGAUCAAUAAUUCCCACGUGGCGGACAAAAGCAGCAAAAGAAAACUGCAUCUUUUGACUUUUGAAAAUCUUUAGAAGCCUUCACUUGAAAUGCUUUGUGAACACAAGAAGUUAUGUAAAAAUAUCUUUGCAUUGAAAAAUAAAAUAAAAUUAUAAUAAUAUAACUUUUCUAAUAUUUUAAUUUGGGUAGUCAAUAAAAAAAAAAUUAUCUAAACAUAGCUCAUUAGCGCGGUCAAAGGUCAUAAAGCGUAUCAACUCUAGAGAUAGCAAAAUGAAUUGUUUAAUAGAAUUCAAAUCAAAAUUUAAUAAAUUUAGAUUUGAUUUGUUUAUUAGACGAAUUAUAAUCUCAAGAUUCAAAUUUCACUCGUUUAAUAAAUAAAUAUGCGUUUACAAUUUGAUUUUUGGGAGUGUUUCGUUUGGCAUUUUGUUUGGGGAAUGAAAAAACAGGUCCUUGAAAUUCAAGUAAAAGAAAUAACAAUGGAGGUAGGAAAAUGAAGAGUGGAGCAAGGGUCGGCUGAUGAGUGAUGAAGCCUUUACCUUUAUUAUUAUUAAUAUUUUUGGCUUAUUAUCAUUUCAUAAUUACAAAACUAACCUUACACCUUAAAAAUGUUCAAACAAAAUUUUUUGAAUUUUAAUGGCAAAAAAGUAAUUCUAUUAAAAAGAUAAUUUAUUAUUCUAUUUAUUUAUAAGCUAUUUAAUAAACGAAUUUUAUUAACAAGCAUAUCACCCAAACCGCAGAAGGAAACAAAACAAAGAGAUGGACAAAGAACUUAAAAACGGGAGAUAAGAAGAUAACCAGCUUGAGGUUCAAAAUUAAAAACGUAUGAUACACGACAUGUACGGAAAGAAAGACAGAAAAGCCAGCAUGGGCUACUGAGCUGCCCCUCCCAAUCCCCAUAAAAGCACCAAGUUCAUAACAAUCAAAUCAGCAAGGUAAAAAUAAAAAAGAAAAUGAACCGUCCACAUGUUUUGGUAUUGCCUAUUCCAGCGCAAGGCCAUGUGAUUCCUUUACUGGAGUUUUCACAAUGUCUGGCGAAACAGGGCUUCCGAGUCACAUUUGUUAACACGGAUUACGAUCACAAGCGGAUAGUGGAAUCAUUGGAGGGAAAGAAUGAUCUUGGGGAGCAAAUCCGUUUGGUUUCGAUCCCAGAUGGAAUGGAACCCUGGGAAGAUAGAAACGAUUUCGGAAAGCUAUUUGAAAAAGUUUUACAGGUUAUGCCGGGGAAGCUGGAGGAGCUCAUAGAAGAUAUCAACAGUAGAGAAGAUGAAAAACUUGAUUGUUUCAUUGCAGAUGGGUACAUGGCUUGGUCUAUGGAAGUUACAAAAAAGAUGAACGUCAGGGGGGCUCUCUUUUGGCCUUCAUCAGCAGCAUCAGUGGCCUUGCUAUUUCAUAUCCCCAAACUUAUUGAUGAUGGAAUCAUUGACAGUAAUGGUAUGAUUCUAUGUCAGUUAAUUCCUGACUUUCCUCCAGCAGGCUUUAAUUUUGAUGCAUGUCAAAGUAGUAGUUUUUUUUUAUGCUACUGCAAUUUUUUUUGUUUGUAUUCAACUUCAGGAACUCCUAUGAGCAAGCAGAUGUUUCAGAUUGCACCAAAUAUGCCUGAAAUGAACUCUGGAGACUGUUUUUGGACAAAUAUUGGUGACUUGAACACGCAAAAGAUUAUUUUUGAUUUACUGGAUAGAAACAUGAGAGCAAUGAGAGCGGUAAAUUUCCAGUUGUGUCACUCAACGUAUGAGCUCGAGUCUGAGGCAUUCACCGUGGUUCCGGAACUUCUGCCAAUAGGACCACUUUUGGCUGGCAACCGUCUAGGGAAUUCAGCAGGACACUUCUGGCGCGAAGACUCAAGCUGUUUGGAGUGGCUAGACCAGCAGCAACCGAGCUCUGUCCUUUAUGCUGCUUUUGGCAGCUUUACAAUUCUUGACCAAGUUCAGUUUCAAGAAUUGGCAUUUGGACUAGAACUCUGCAACAGACCAUUUUUAUGGGUUGUAAGGCCAGAUAUUACCACUGAUGCAAAUGAUAGAUACCCAGACGGAUUCCAAGAGAGAGUUUCUGCUCGAGGACGGAUGAUCGGCUGGGCACCUCAGCAGAAGGUUCUUAACCAUCCUUCUAUUGCCUGUUUCCUGAGCCAUUGUGGUUGGAAUUCCACCAUGGAAGGUGUUAGCAAUGGCAUUCCUUUCUUGUGCUGGCCAUAUUUUGCUGAACAAUUCCUGAACGAGAAAUACAUU